rnacentral:lncRNA from 1 species
AACUCUCAGCUCCUCCUGCACCAUGCCUGCCUGGAUGCUGCCAUGCUCCCACCUUGAUGAUAAUGGACUGAGCCUCUGAACCUGUAAGCCAGCCCCAAUUAAAUGUUGUCCUUUAUAAAACUGGCAUUGGUCAUGGUGUCUGUCCACAGCAAUAAAACCCUAACUAAGACAGACAGCACAAGUAGAUUCCCUGCCCGCAUCCCCCUGCUCUCUCUGGUGUGCUGAAGGGAUGGGUAAGCCAAUGGUGAUUCUUCUCUGUCUUUUCAGUGACCUUCAGAACGCAGCUGCUGGCUCCUUUGCUUCUGCUUUUGCCGCUCUGGUUCUCUGCCCUACAGAGCUUGUGAAGUGCCGGCUACAGACCAUGUAUGAAAUGGAGACGUCGGGAAAGAUAGCGGCCAGCCAGAAUACAGUUUGGUCAGUCGUGAAGGAAAUCUUCAGGAAGGAUGGCCCCCUGGGUUUCUACCAUGGCCUCUCAAGCACUUUACUUCGAGAAGUACCAGGCUAUUUCUUCUUCUUUGGUGGCUAUGAACUGAGCAGAUCAUUUUUCGCAUCAGGGAGAUCCAAAGAUGAACUGGGUCCUAUCCCGCUCAUGCUAAGUGGUGGAUUUGGUGGGAUUUGCCUGUGGCUUGCUGUGUAUCCGGUGGAUUGUAUCAAAUCUAGAAUUCAAGUUCUUUCUAUGACCGGAAAGCAGACGGGACUCAUCAGAACCUUCCUGAGUAUCGUAA